rnacentral:rRNA from 1 species
AGAGCGAACGCUGGCGGCAGGCCUAACACAUGCAAGUCGAGCGCCCGUAGCAAUACGGGAGCGGCAGACGGGAUAGUAACACGUGGGAACGCGCCCUUUGGUUCGGAACAACUCAGGGAAACUUGAGCUAAUACCGAAUGUGCCCUUCGGGGGAAAGAUUUAUCGCCAUUGGAGCGGCCCGCGUCUGAUUAGCUAGUUGGUGAGGUAAAGGCUCACCAAGGCGACGAUCAGUAGCUGGUCUGAGAGGAUGAUCAGCCACACUGGGACUGAGACACGGCCCAGACUCCUACGGGAGGCAGCAGUAGGGAAUCUUGCGCAAUGGGCGAAAGCCUGACGCAGCCAUGCCGCGUGAAUGAUGAAGGUCUUAGGAUUGUAAAAUUCUUUCAGCGGGGACGAUAAUGACGGUACCCGCAGAAGAACGCCCGGCUAACUUCGUGCCAGCAGCCGC